rnacentral:tRNA from 1 species
ACACAAGCUCAGUUGGUAGAGCAUGAGACUCUUAAUUUCAAAGUCGUGAGUUUUUGCCCCACAUUGGGUG